UACGUAGGGUGCGAGCGUUAAUCGGAAUUACUGGGCGUAAAGCGUGCGCAGGCGGUUUUGUAAGCCAGAUGUGAAAUCCCCGGGCUUAACCUGGGAAUGGCAUUUGGGGACUGCAAGGCUGGAGUACGGCAGAGGAGACUGGAAUUCCUGGUGUAGCAGUGAAAUGCGUAGAGAUCAGGAGGAAUACCGAUGGCGAAGGCAGGUCUCUGGGCUGAUACUGACGCUCAUGCACGAAAGCGUGGGGAGCAAACAGG
rnacentral:rRNA from 1 species